rfam:Gorilla gorilla gorilla genomic chromosome, chr3, whole genome shotgun sequence
GCUGGGCGCGGUGGCUCACACCUGUAAUCCCAGCACUUUGGGAGGCUGGGGCAGGCGGAUCACGAGGUCAGGAGAUCGGGACCAUCCUGGCUAACACAGUGAAACCCCAUCUCUACUAAAAAUACAAAAAAUUAGCUAGGCAUGGUGGCGGGUGCCUGUAGUCCCAGCUACUCGNNNNNNNNNNCGAGUAGCUGGGACUACAGGCACCCGCCACCAUGCCUAGCUAAUUUUUUGUAUUUUUAGUAGAGAUGGGGUUUCACUGUGUUAGCCAGGAUGGUCCCGAUCUCCUGACCUCGUGAUCCGCCUGCCCCAG